rnacentral:rRNA from 1 species
AGAGUUUGAUCCUGGCUCAGGAUGAACGCUGGCGGCGUGCCUAAUACAUGCAAGUCGAGCGAACGGACGAGAAGCUUGCUUCUCUGAUGUUAGCGGCGGACGGGUGAGUAACACGUGGAUAACCUACCUAUAAGACUGGGAUAACUUCGGGAAACCGGAGCUAAUACCGGAUAAUAUUUUGAACCGCAUGGUUCAAAAGUGAAAGACGGUCUUGCUGUCACUUAUAGAUGGAUCCGCGCUGCAUUAGCUAGUUGGUAAGGUAACGGCUUACCAAGGCAACGAUGCAUAGCCGACCUGAGAGGGUGAUCGGCCACACUGGAACUGAGACACGGUCCAGACUCCUACGGGAGGCAGCAGUAGGGAAUCUUCCGCAAUGGGCGAAAGCCUGACGGAGCAACGCCGCGUGAGUGAUGAAGGUCUUCGGAUCGUAAAACUCUGUUAUUAGGGAAGAACAUAUGUGUAAGUAACUGUGCACAUCUUGACGGUACCUAAUCAGAAAGCCACGGCUAACUACGUGCCAGCAGCCGCGGUAAUACGUAGGUGGCAAGCGUUAUCCGGAAUUAUUGGGCGUAAAGCGCGCGUAGGCGGUUUUUUAAGUCUGAUGUGAAAGCCCACGGCUCAACCGUGGAGGGUCAUUGGAAACUGGAAAACUUGAGUGCAGAAGAGGAAAGUGGAAUUCCAUGUGUAGCGGUGAAAUGCGCAGAGAUAUGGAGGAACACCAGUGGCGAAGGCGACUUUCUGGUCUGUAACUGACGCUGAUGUGCGAAAGCGUGGGGAUCAAACAGGAUUAGAUACCCUGGUAGUCCACGCCGUAAACGAUGAGUGCUAAGUGUUAGGGGGUUUCCGCCCCUUAGUGCUGCAGCUAACGCAUUAAGCACUCCGCCUGGGGAGUACGACCGCAAGGUUGAAACUCAAAGGAAUUGACGGGGACCCGCACAAGCGGUGGAGCAUGUGGUUUAAUUCGAAGCAACGCGAAGAACCUUACCAAAUCUUGACAUCCUUUGACAACUCUAGAGAUAGAGCCUUCCCCUUCGGGGGACAAAGUGACAGGUGGUGCAUGGUUGUCGUCAGCUCGUGUCGUGAGAUGUUGGGUUAAGUCCCGCAACGAGCGCAACCCUUAAGCUUAGUUGCCAUCAUUAAGUUGGGCACUCUAAGUUGACUGCCGGUGACAAACCGGAGGAAGGUGGGGAUGACGUCAAAUCAUCAUGCCCCUUAUGAUUUGG